UACGAAGGGGGCUAGCGUUGUUCGGAAUUACUGGGCGUAAAGCGCACGUAGGCGGAUAUUUAAGUCAGGGGUGAAAUCCCAGAGCUCAACUCUGGAACUGCCUUUGAUACUGGGUAUCUCGAGUAUGGAAGAGGUGAGUGGAAUUCCGAGUGUAGAGGUGAAAUUCGUAGAUAUUCGGAGGAACACCAGUGGCGAAGGCGCUCACUGGUCCAUUAC
rnacentral:rRNA from 1 species